rnacentral:rRNA from 1 species
UGCAAGUCGAACGGUAACGGGUCUUCGGGAUGCCGACGAGUGGCGAACGGGUGAGUAAUACAUCGGAACGUGCCUGGUAGUGGGGGAUAACUACUCGAAAGAGUGGCUAAUACCGCAUGAGAUCUCAGGAUGAAAGCAGGGGACCCUCGGGCCUUGCGCUAUCAGAGCGGCCGAUGGCAGAUUAGGUAGUUGGUGGGAUAAAAGCUUACCAAGCCGACGAUCUGUAGCUGGUCUGAGAGGACGAUCAGCCACACUGGGACUGAGACACGGCCCAGACUCCUACGGGAGGCAGCAGUGGGGAAUUUUGGACAAUGGGCGCAAGCCUGAUCCAGCAAUGCCGCGUGCAGGAUGAAGGCCUUCGGGUUGUAAACUGCUUUUGUACGGAACGAAAAGCUUCGGGCUAAUACCCUGGAGUCAUGACGGUACCGUAAGAAUAAGCACCGGCUAACUACGUGCCAGCAGCCGCGGUAAUACGUAGGGUGCAAGCGUUAAUCGGAAUUACUGGGCGUAAAGCGUGCGCAGGCGGUUUUGUAAGACAGUGGUGAAAUCCCCGGGCUCAACUUGGGAACUGCCAUUGUGACUGCAAGGCUGGAGUGCGGCAGAGGGGGAUGGAAUUCCGCGUGUAGCAGUGAAAUGCGUAGAUAUGCGGAGGAACACCGAUGGCGAAGGCAAUCCCCUGGGCCUGCACUGACGCUCAUGCACGAAAGCAUGGGGAGCAAACAGGAUUAGAUACCCUGGUAGUCCACGCCCUAAACGAUGUCAACUGGUUGUUGGGGAUUUAUUUUCUCAGUAACGAAGCUAACGCGUGAAGUUGACCGCCUGGGGAGUACGGCCGCAAGGUUAAAACUCAAAGGAAUGGACGGAAGGGCGA